CUCUGAAGCUUCAGUCUCCAGUUCUUGUUUUCUAUCAGAAGACAGAAGAGAAUCUCAAGAACAAGGAAUCCUCGUGAAAGCCCAAGCGUGGUCAGCAAAGAGGUGAGCUAUUACCAACUGCAGCAGUCCAGACCUGCACAAGGCUGAGGGCAGUGGAGAGGCAAGAAGGGAACAGAUGACUCAUACUCCGGAGUUGACUGCUGGGACCUAAAGAGUAAGAGGGACGGAGCGCGUCAGUCGGCAUGCCUGUGUCAGUUAUCUAUUGCUACACACAAAUCACCAAGUAUUC